rnacentral:rRNA from 1 species
UACAGAGGUCCCAAGCGUUGUUCGGAUUCACUGGGCGUAAAGGGUGCGUAGGCGGUUUGAUAAGUCUGAUGUGAAAUCCCGCAGCUUAACUGCGGAACUGCAUUGGAAACUAUUUGACUAGAGGAAUGGAGGGGAGACUGGAAUACUUGGUGUAGCAGUGAAAUGCGUAGAUAUCAAGUGGAACACCAGUGGCGAAGGCGAGUCUCUGGACAUUUCCUGACGCUGAGGCACGAAAGCCAGGGGAGCAAACGGGAUUAGAGUACCCCGAGUCAGUCCAAGACCAGUCUGCGACCGAUCGAUACACUCGACCGUACC